AUCCUUUCAACGUCAUCGCGGCUGCGCUUUCCUCUGCUCUUGUUCACUACUACCCUCUUGCUGCCACUCUCCGCCGAGGCCAGGUGGAUGACCGUCUGGAGCUGUUUUGCUCUCGGGACCAUUUAGGUGUGCCUCUUAUCAAUGCAACUGUAAACUGCCCGUUGGAAAAACUAAACUACCUCGAUGACUCGGACCCGAAUUUUCUGGACGGGUUAGUUCCUGACCCGGUUCAAGAUUAUGGGCUGGCUAACCCGUGUGUUCUCCAAGUCACGGUGUUUGAGUGUGGUGGAUGGACAUUAGGUGCUGCCAUACACCAUGGUUUGUGUGAUGGGCUUGGGGCAACCCAGUUUUUUAAUGUUAUGGCAGAGUUGGCACGUGGUGUGGGUCGGAUUUCAGCUAAUCCAGUUUGGGACCGGGCGCGCUUGUUGGGUCCGAGAGACCCGCCCCGGGCUGAGGGAGUGGUGAGGGAGUUUUUGGGCUUGGAGAAAGGGUCUGAACCUUACGGUCAGGUGGUUGGUAAGGUUGUGAGGGAGUGCUUUCCUGUGAAGGAUGAGUGGUUGGAGAAGUUCAAGAAGGUGUUGUUUGAGAAGAGUGGCUCUAGUUUUACCACGUUUGAAGCCUUGGGUGCAUUCAUAUGGCGGGCAAAGUAAGUCAUUAGGUAGUUUGUGCAUCACUCAGCAUCGCCAUUACUUGAUGGUUGCAUUUCAUAUUUUUGCCUCAUUUGCAAAAAUUAAAAACAAAAAACAAAGUAGAGGUCAAUUAGCAGGUGGUAUAUAAGCCAAUCUUGCAUGUUCUUGGCUCUUACUUGGGAGAAAAAAAAAUAAUAAUGAUAUUCAAACUCAAGUCAAGAUAAAUUAUUUUAUUGAAACUAUAGAAAUUGCCAGCUAUAUUCAAUGUAUUAUGGCUUGGAUCAUGUUGUCUCUCUUAAUUCUAAUUCAUCAUUGACUUAACAGGGUUAAAGCCUCGGGGGUUCCAGGUGAUGAGAAUGUGAAGUUCGCCUACUCAAUCAAUAUACGAAAACUGGUAAAGCCACCAUUACCCGCUGGCUAUUGGGGCAAUGGUUGUGUUCCGAUGUAUGCUCAACUCCGUGCCAGAGAGCUGAUAGAGCAACCAGUUUGGAAAACAGCUGAGCUGGGACAUUCAACUGUUGAUUUUGGGUGGGGAGGUCCGGUCACUGUCUUGCCACUUUCAAGAAAACUACUCGGAAGUGUUGUGCCGUGCUUUUUCUUGCCUUAUUCUUCUGCAAAUGCCGGCAAGAAGGAUGGGUUCAAGGUGCUGGUAACCUUGCAAGAAACACACAUGCCUGCCUUUAAGAAAGAGAUGGAGAAAUUUAGCAGCCAAGAUUUUGACUUGUCUUGAUUUACAUGCUAAAUCCCUUCAACCAUUUCUAUAUCUGUAAGCAUGCCACUCUAGAGCUAAAUCUGCACUCCACAGGGAUUGCUGCUUCUAGAGAUGGCGAAGAAGGCUGUAACGCUGGUGGUUGCUACUCUUGUUCGACUGUUUUCCUUUCUCUCCCUGCUGUGUCCACUGCUUUCUCUCUUCUUCUCAGUUCUUGAUGUGCACAAACCAAGAAGGAUAAAGGGUGGUUUUCUUUGAUCUUCUUGUGAUUUCGGGUUCUUCUUUUUUGCAGGGAUGAGGGCAAUAGCAAGGCUUAUUCUUGUCUUGCUGUUGCUCCUCCUCUUUCUUCUCUUCUCUAUGUGAAUUUCUUUUUUUUUUUUUUUUUUGCUUUGUUUUCGUCUAUGUUUUCUAGUUUCGGGUUGUGUUAUUUUUCUCUCCCUCUUAGUUUCUUCUCUCGUGCUUGUUUUUUUUUUUUAGUUUAUGCUCUGUUUUUGCUCUACUUUUUUUUUUCCUGUUCCUCCCCUGGUUUCUGGGUUUGUUCUUUUCCCCUUGUUCUAGGUUUUCUUCUCCCUUUUAUAGAAUCCCCAGCUGAUUGCCUCUAACCAGUCUUGACUUUGCAAGACUAUUAUCUUCCACGAACGAGAUCGUGAGUGAGAGACGUGGUCUUUGAUUGGAUCGAAUCCGUUACAGAUUUUCAGCCUGUUAAAUCGGGAUGGAGAAGACGAACACGGUUGUUCCACCACGACGACA
rnacentral:lncRNA from 1 species